GGGGCCGUAGCUCAUACAGGAAGAGCGCUGCUGUCGCAUAGCAGAGGUGAUGGGUUCGAAUCCCAUCGGCUCCA
rnacentral:tRNA from 1 species